AGACCCGAAACCCGGUGAUCUAGCCAUGGGCAGGUUGAAGGUUGGGUAACACUAACUGGAGGACCGAACCGACUAAUGUUGAAAAAUUAGCGGAUGACCUGUGGCUGGGGGUGAAAGGCCAAUCAAACCGGGAGAUAGCUGGUUCUCCCCGAAAGCUAUUUAGGUAGCGCCUCGUGAAUUCAUCUCCGGGGGUAGAGCACUGUUUCGGCUAGGGGGCCAUCCCGGCUUACCAACCCGAUGCAAACUGCGAAUACCGGAGAAUGUUAUCACGGGAGACACACGGCGGGUGCUAACGUCCGUCGUGAAGAGGGAAACAACCCAGACCGCCAGCUAAGGUCCCAAAGUCAUGGUUAAGUGGGAAACGAUGUGGGAAGGCCCAGACAGCCAGGAUGUUGGCUUAGAAGCAGCCAUCAUUUAAAGAAAGCGUAAUAGCUCACUGGUCGAGUCGGCCUGCGCGGAAGAUGUAACGGGGCUAAACCAUGCACCGAAGCUGCGGCAGCGAACGUAUCACCCAAGACAACUUUACGGAGUUGACGAUUGACGGAGCGAAGCGACGUCAAAGCGUUCAUUAAAGUCGAGUUGGCUUAGGGAUACGUUCGUUGGGUAGGGGAGCGUUCUGUAAGCCUGUGAAGGUGUGUCGUGAGGCAUGCUGGAGGUAUCAGAAGUGCGAAUGCUGACAUAAGUAACGAUAAAGCGGGUGAAAAGCCCGCUCGCCGGAAGACCAAGGGUUCCUGUCCAACGUUAAUCGGGGCAGGGUGAGUCGACCCCUAAGGCGAGGCCGAAAGGCGUAGUCGAUGGGAAACGGGUUAAUAUUCCCGUACUUGGUGUUACUGCGAAGGGGGGACGGAGAAGGCUAUGUUGGCCGGGCGACGGUUGUCCCGGUUUAAGCGUGUAGGUGUGUGUUCCAGGUAAAUCCGGUUCACUUUAACACUGAGGCGUGACGACGAGGCACUACGGUGCUGAAGCAACAAAUGCCCUGCUUCCAGGAAAAGCCUCUAAGCAU
rnacentral:rRNA from 4 species